rnacentral:sRNA from 12 species
UGUAAGUGCAGGUAUUCAUACACUGCACACGAGUGGUCUACGAUCCUUUGGUUUAAGCGUAAUGUAAGUACGUCGCCCACUUGGGAACCACCUUCGGGUGGUUUUUCUUUUGUUU